rnacentral:rRNA from 1 species
AUAGCCCAGGGAAACCUGGAUUAAUACCGGAUGAGACGGGACCCGCGAUGGCGGGAUCCGGGAAAGGCGCUGCGGGCGCCGCCGGGGGAUGAGUCUGCGUCCCAGUUAGGCUAGACGGCGGGGUAACGGCCCACCGUGGCGACGAUGGGUAGCCGGCCUGAGAGGGUGACGGCCACAUUGGAACUGAGACACGGUCCAGACUCCUACGGGAGGCAGGCAGCUAAGAAUCUUCCGCAAUGGGCGAAAGCCUGACGGAGCGACGCCCGCGUGAACGAAGAAGGCCGUGAGGUUGUAAAGUUCUUUUCGGGAGGGGGAACAACCGUGGCAGGGAAUGGCCGCGGGAUGACGUGAAUCCCGGAAUAAGCCCAGGCUAACUACGUGCCAGCCGCCGC